AAAAAAUGGAUCCGAUGGAUCUGAUGGAUCCAAUGGAUCCCCAUUGGAUCCAUCAGAUCCAUUUUUUUUAUAUAUAACUAAAAUCCAUUGGAUCCAUCGGAUCCAUUUUUUUUAUAUAACUAAAAUCCAUUGGAUCCAUCGGAUCCAUCAGAUCCUUCGGAUCCAUUUUU